ACUAAUUGUUAUUCCAAUUUUAAUAACAUAUACCAAGUUAGAUAUGCUACUGAGUGACACUUUUUACUUUGUUAUUACAGAUGCGCCAAAUGGAGACAAGUCCGUGGAGAUGACGACAGUUAACAGGACCGGUGUUGCCGCCAUUUCCGGUCAACUGUACGAAAAUGCAUAACAUCACUGUUGGAAGUGAACAAGCCAUUGUUCCCUCAGAGAUUGCAUGUAUGAAAUAAAAUGGGGAGUGACGACACCAAUAACGGAGAAACCCUUCGAUUAUUCAGUAUCAGAAAUAAAGAACACCAAGCUUCCAAGACAAAAUCCGACAUGAAGGUACUGUCAUCUCCGAAACUUAAUCAAGUACCUCCUCAGCCACAUCAUCAUUUAAGGGGGAAGCUCGAAGAAGCCACAGAAAUAAGAAAACACCAUCCUGCCAUGAACCGUCACCAGAGUAAUGAUUAGUCCAAUGCUUGGGAUUCUAUGUUGUAAAUUUUAUAUUG